rnacentral:rRNA from 1 species
AACGAACGCUGGCGGCGCGCCUAAUACAUGCAAGUCGAGCGAGAAGACGUAGCAAUACGUUUGUAAAGCGGCGAACGGGUGAGGAAUACAUGGGUAACCUACCCUCGAGUGGGGAAUAACUAGCCGAAAGGUUAGCUAAUACCGCGUACGCUCCUUGGACUUCGGUUCAGGGAGGAAAGCGAUACCGUGGGUAUCGCGCUCUUGGAUGGGCUCAUGUCCUAUCAGCUUGUUGGUGAGGUAACGGCUCACCAAGGCUUCGACGGGUAGCUGGUCUGAGAGGACGAUCAGCCACACUGGCACUGCGACACGGGCCAGACUCCUACGGGAGGCAGCAGUAAGGAAUAUUGCGCAAUGGGCGAAAGCCUGACGCAGCGACGCCGCGUGGGGGAUGAAGGUCUUCGGAUUGUAAACCCCUUUC